ensembl:lncRNA
GGUGAGACUGAGCUCCAACUUUGGUUUUAGUAAACUAAUUUUUUUGAAUUAAAAAAAAAAAGUUAUUGUUAAUGGAAACAACAAAAAUUCCAAAUCCAGAUGUAAUUAUAUCCAAGUUUGUAUAAUCCUACAGUUGGGGCAGUAACAUAGGAGAACAAAGGUGACAUUAGUCAUUUUGAGGGUUACCUGAACACUACUUUGGCUACUGGCUCAUGAUUCAGUUAAACAAGUUUGCUUUUCUUGAACUUGACUCUGUGCAUCCAGAAAUGUGAAGGAUAUGAAAGUGAAGGUAUGCAAAGUGGAGAUAUGAAAAUGCUCUGUAGCUACAGCAGUCUGCUGAGAAGAUACAUCUGUCACCACAGCUGUGCCUUCUGCUCCCCAUGAGCUGUAUCUGCUUGGCUGAGCUGAUUUCCUGUCUGUGCCAGCACUGCCUGGCUCUUCUCUAGGAGUGCUGAGGAAGAUCUGUGCUAGUAGAAUCAAAUUGGUGUGUUUAUUUCUCUGUCUCCCUCUGUUAAAAGCAAGAAAUUAAAUGAGCCUGAUCAUACCUGAGAUUCUGGAUGCCUAAAAUUUCACUGAAAAUGUUGAAAGAAAGGGGACUGUUAAACAACUUCACUUCUCAACAUUUGUAUUGCCUGAGAUAUGAUGACAGCUGUGAAGUUGAUCCAUGGGUAAAGGUCUAUCCCAUUCUUCAUGAGCCCACUGAGGUUGGCUGGGCAUGUGCUCUCAGUGCUUGUUUUCCCAGUACUCCUUUUGAAGGUGCCUGUAAAUAUUCUGAAGACUGAUGCCAGUACAAACAUGCACUUACUUUUUAAGGAAAACACAAGGAAAUGACAUCUGAGAAACUCUACACCUUGUGAAGAGAACUUUGUCACAGAGGAUGUGAGGGUCUCUUGCUAUCCUUCAAUAAACUACAAAAAGAGCAGUCUUUGCAAGUUUUGUAUGAAAAAAAAGAAGCAUUUUGGAAAAUGACCUACAACUAUUUUUACUCCUUUCUAAUGUGUCUAAUUCUGCCUUUUAACAGGUCAGCUGAGGUUCUAGAAAUCAUUCAAUUAGUUUUCUGCCUUUUUAGAAGUCACAUUAAAGAUCUUUUUUUUUUUCCUUUUCUUGGCUUUUUUUUUCUUGUCCUUUCCAAUUUCCCAUCUUUAAAAUGAUGAUAAUUAUGCUUCUUUCCAAGUCAUUACAAAGAAAAUCUGAGCAGUCUUGUAAUUAAAAAAUCCCAUCUCACCUAACUUCUAUAUUCUACGACUAAUGCCUAUAUUGUAGAUGUUUGCUGUUGAGAUAGGUAUCUGAUGUUGCUUUCAAGUUGACAUAGCACUCACCUACCAGUGACUAUUUCUGUCUACUGACAGUAAAAGACAAGACAGGUAUACAUUUUCACACUGUAGGAUUCACUAUGUGGUCAGACUAAUCCUAUUCAACAAGCCUGGUUCAGCCAUAGAUAUUCCACUAGAUCCUUUGCAAAACACCUCAUCAUUUCAUGUCCAUUCCCCACACCUAAACCAUGCACUCAUCAUGCAAUUUUACAGCUGCCCUCUGCCUGACCUCUCUAUCAGGCAGGAGGCUGAGAGAUGAUUGUCUUCUAUUAAGGGAGCUUCAGUCCGUCUUGGAGCUAUGAAGUGUUGCACAGAUUGCAGUAAUUUGUAAAGUCAUAUCAUUGGUUCAUUAAUAUUUUUUAAUGUUCUUAGAAGAAUUGAUGUGCUGAGAAUGAAUUAAAACAAUGGGAAAAAAACAUAUAUAGAAUAUAUAAUAUAGAGAAUAUAGAAGAGGCCAGUUGUAGUUGUGCAGUUUUGUAAUCAAAGUGAAAGCUUUUGUUGAGCUUUGCAGUAAAUAAGUUCACUUAGUGUUUGUCUUCCAGGGAUCUUAAUUCUUUCUCAGUGGAAAAGAGUGUGUGCUUAAAAAUAUGAAUUGUUGAACUCCAUAAAGGUAAUCCAGACAGGAA